GGAUGUUGUUGUGGAAUGCAAUGGUGUGGAUGAAGAGGAUGACCAGGAUGAUGAAGAGGGAUUGGACAUAAAUCCAAAACUGGGCUGCCGGGUUCAUUUUCCUAGUGACGUCAUGCGAGGAACGUAAGUGUAUGUAUGUAAUGGACGAUGAACACCGUAUAAUAAUGAAGAAUUUAACGUAUUAAAGUUUAAGUGUUAAAGGUAAUCUAUGUUUAUAUACUAUUUAUAAUUAUUUGUUUGUAGUAUGUACUUAUACAUGUGUAACUACUAAGUACUAUUGAUUUAUAACUCACAAUUCGAUCCUUUUAAACGAGGUGGUACGAAUUAUGGUAUAUGCAACUCUCUAUUGAUAAAAAACACAUAGAUAUAAUUCACGCGGUAAAUCACCCGGCUAUCGGCAUUUUUAUGAUAGGCAUAGAUAAAAAUGUGCUUAUUCGAAUAGUGUAGUGAUUGUAUGGAUAAUUUGACGUAUUAUUUGUAUAUCUAGAAGAAUUAGUCACGUUUUUUCGAUCGAAUCGGAUUGUAUUUGAUCAAUCGU